UACAGAGGGUGCAAGCGUUAAUCAGAAUUACUGGGCGUAAAGGGCGCGUAGGUGGUUAAUUAAGUGAGAUGUGAAAUCCCUGGGCUUAACCUAGGAACUGCAUCUUAAGCUGGUAGACUAGAGUACGGUAGAGGGUAGUGGAAUUUCCGGUGUAGCGGUGAAAUGCGUAGAUAUCGGAAGGAACACCAGUGGCGAAGGCGGCUACCUGGACUGAUACUGACACUGAGGCGCGAAAGCGUGGGUAGCAAACAGG
rnacentral:rRNA from 1 species